UGACUAAUGGGAUCACCACAGUGUACAAAGACCAAUACAGAGAAGGUUAGCAUGGACCCUGUGCAAGGAUGACACGCAAAUUCAUGAAGCGUUCCAUGCUUUA
ensembl:snRNA U6 U6 spliceosomal RNA